rnacentral:rRNA from 1 species
ACGGGAGGCAGCAGUGGGGAAUAUUGGGCAAUGGGCGCAAGCCUGACCCAGCAAUGCCGCGUGAAGGAAGAAGGCUUUCGGGUUGUAAACUUCUUUUAAGUGGGACGAUAAUGACGGUACCACUUGAAUAAGCUCCGGCUAACUACGUGCCAGCAGCCGCGGUAAUACGUAGGGAGCAAGCGUUAUCCGGAUUUACUGGGUGUAAAGGGAGCGCAGGCGGUACGGCAAGUCUGAUGUGAAAGCCCGGGGCUCAACCCCGGUACUGCAUUGGAAACUGUCGAACUAGAGUGUCGGAGGGGUAAGCGGAAUUCCUAGUGUAGCGGUGAAAUGCGUAGAUAUUAGGAGGAACACCAGUGGCGAAGGCGGCUUACUGGACGAUAACUGACGCUGAGGCUCGAAAGCGUGGGGAGCAAACAGGAUUAGAUACCCUGGUA